GACGUAGGAGGCGAGCGUUGUCCGGAUUCAUUGGGCGUAAAGAGCUCGUAGGCGGCUUGUCGCGUCGUCCGUGAAAACCUGCGGCUCAACUGCAGGCUGGCGGUCGAUACGGGCGAGGCUGGAGUUCGGUAGGGGAGACUGGAAUUCCUGGUGUAGCGGUGAAAUGCGCAGAUAUCAGGAAGAACACCCGUGGCGAAGGCGGCUUUCUGGGACGGUACUGACGCUGGAGACGCGAAAGCGUGGGGAGCGAACAGG
rnacentral:rRNA from 1 species